GCGGCUCUGCCCAGGGACUGGGGAUCUUACAGAGCUGGUCCCAUCCCCUCUUCAGGAUGUCGUCUGUACAGGGGAGUCUUUGAAGCCCAGACCUAGUGCUGCACCCCGAAAUCUUUGUGUUUUGAAGAGCAGGUUGAACUGGAACACCUCAGAGGCAGACCGGAGUGACUGGACUGAACUGCAGGUAACCCUGAGAGUGGCUUCUGCACUGAGGGCGUUGUUGGCCUGGCUUACUGUCUGUCGUAUUGGCACCAGUGCUCCGCCAUCUAUCUCCUCCCAUUGGUUGACCUCAGAGCCCACCAAAGCACAACAGGGUAAUUUUAUAGGAAUCUGAUUAAUUUUGUCUGCUUGAUCUCACAAAAUAUGGCAGGGGCCAGUGUAAGUCUAAUUUCUGUUAUACUUCACAAGAGUUAGAUUAUGUUAAAUGGAAAAAGCCAACCAGCAAUCACGAGUGGAGUCCACAGAUGACAUGAGAAGCACAGAACAGAUGAGG
rnacentral:lncRNA from 1 species